ACUCCUACGGGAGGCAGCAGUAGGGAAUAUUGGUCAAUGGGCGAAAGCCUGAACCAGCCAUGCCGCGUGUCAGAUGAAGGUCCUCUGGAUUGUAAAUGACUUUUCUACGGGAAGAAUGAGCCGUCUGCGGACGGAAGUUGACGGUACCGUAGGAAUAAGCACCGGCUAACUACGUGCCAGCAGCCGCGGUAAUACGUAGGGGUGCAAGCGUUGUCCGGAUUUACUGGGGUUUAAAGGGUACGUAGGCGGUUGUGCCAAGUCUGGGGUGAAAGUUUGCAGCUCAACUGUAAAAUUGCCUUGGAUACUGGUCGGCUAGAGUAGUGGAGCGGUGGCUGGAAUUUAUAGUGUAGCGGUGAAAUGCUUAGAUACUAUGAGGAACACCAAUUGCGAAGGCAGGUCACUGGUCACUAACUGACGCUGAGGUACGAAAGUGUGGGGAUCAAACAGGAUUAGAUACCCUGGUAGGAUAGCG
rnacentral:rRNA from 1 species